CACUAUGCUUAGCCGUAAAAUAUUAACCCACACUUAACCCGCCAGGGAAUUACGAGCCCAAGCUUAAAACCCAAAGGACUUGACGGUGUCCCAUCCCCCUAGAGGAGCCUGUUCUAUAAUCGAUUCUCCCCGAUCUACCUUACCGUUUCUUGAAUACCCAGUCUGUAUACCUCCGUCGCAAGCUUACCAUGUGAACGCACAGUGAGCCUAAAGAUCUAUCAUCCAAACGUCAGGUCAAGGUGCAGCCCACGGAACGGAAAGAAAUGGGCUACAAUCUCUACCCUAGAACAAACGGAAAGCUGUAUGAAACACAGUUAUUGAAGGCGGAUUUAGUAGUAAAAAGAAAACAGAGUGUUCUUUUUAACUAGGCGCUGGGACGCGUACACACCGCCCGUCACCCUCUUCAAAUAGAAGACUUAAAGUCAUUAACACCAUGCAAUUAUAUAGAAGAGGCAAGUCGUAACAUGGUAAGUGUACUGGAAAGUGCACUUGGAAUAACAAAAUGUAGCUUAAUGAAAGCAUCCUGUUUACACCAAGACCAUGUCUGUGAAACCCUGACCAUUUUGAGCCUAAAUCUCAGCCCUAAUUCUCCCCAUGAAUUCCUCUUCCUUUCUUCCCCCCCCCAUAAUAAAACAUUUUCUUAACCCAGUAAAGGCGAUUAAAAAGUUACUAGGAGCUUCAACAUCAGUACCGCAAGGGAAAAUUGAAAUAAAAAUGAAAUAAAUUUAAAGCAUUUCAAAGUAAAGACUUCCCCUUGUACCUU
rnacentral:rRNA from 1 species